ensembl:lncRNA
AAGCGUGUUCAUAAGGUCCUCUACCCUCCCCCCAAACAGCCUACCUUUGAAGGGAUGGAUGCUGAUGAUCUUCAGCGCACGCCUCCUCCAGCUCUUCAAUCACUUACGUCACGUGGUGCGUCCCGGGUGGUGGGUGUGGCUUCAGCCAUAGGGUUUCAUUCAUAAAUAGUUUUUGCUUUUAAAUCAGACUUGAAGUGUUCGGCGAAGAUUUUGGCGCUAUUGGCUUCUGCCUAAGUUCCCUCACAUGGACCACCUCAAUUUUAAUUAGCUGAGCUUCUGGUCAGAGUCUAGGCAAGCCUAUGCUGAGAGGACAAAAUAGCCCUGAGGAGGCUGGCCAGCCAGGUGGGUGGGCAGAGGCAGGCUGAGAAUGCAGCAAGGGAGCUGAGGAAGAUCUGAGCAGGGAGACACCAACAUCCAGAGCUGCUGCACACAGCCCUCCAUCAGGGGGGACGCUCACGCUCGCCUGGACCAUGAGCAAUGAGUCUACCGUCUGGAUCAACUUCACCGAGAACUCCACCGGGGUCCCAUUUGAGCCUGGUAAACAACAGGAUGGUUACGUCCUACUGCUGGUGCUCCUGUCCAUCUUCCUGGGGGGAACACUGGUCCUGCUGUCUGUCCUGCUGAUCAUCUGCAGACGUUGCUGUGAUGGAGACUGCCGCCAUGCCAGGUCAGACCACUAGUCCAGUGGUUCCCAACCAGGGGUACUAAGACCCUGGGGGUACUUGGCCUAUCCACACGGGGUAUUUGAGAAGACUCAUGAGACCAUAGGCUUAGUGGUAAAAUGCACAUGAGAGGGUACUCCGGGCAGAGUAAAAUUCCGUUGGUGGUACAGUAACCACGGCACUAGUAUGCAUGGUUUAGUGACUAUGCAUGUCUAUGAGUGAGAUGGAGACCAUUCAAAUCCUGUAUGCACAUGUGUCCAUCCCUCUGACAUAAAGAGUGCAUGCAGAGAUGUAACAAUGCAAGUAUGGUAAAAAAAAGACUGUACAGUGCAUUCCGUUAUUAUUGAGUUAUAUUGUUUGUCUACAGACCAUUGUUGAUCUAACAUGGAAACAUCGUUAUAUUUAUUUGUAAGUGAUUUUUAAUCGUCUUCAUUUAGAAAUAGCACCUUUGUUGUUAUGUCUGAGAGAUACAGACUUCUAUUUGUAUAUGAUAUGUUUAUUCCAUUUCCAUGCGCCCCUCUUUUCAGUACACAGCAACAGAGUCAGGCAGUGGCAGGCUGCAGGCUGGCCGGGGUAGAGUAGUGCAGACUGGUACAAAUGAUGAGUGUAAUGAGAUUUCAUAGCAGCCAUCAACGCUGAUUCAUUUUGCGUCUCACACUGUCAUAAGCUCUAGCUGCAGCACACACACACACACACAGAGAGAGAGAGGAAAUGAAAGCACAGCGCCGGGCAGCCAGAGAAAUCCCUCAAGUCAUUCUCACACAGAUAUUAUGAACUGGGUGGUUUGAGCCCUGAAUGCUGAUUGUAUAUCAGAUCUUAAACCACAGGUAUGACAAAACAUUUAUUUGUACUACUCUAAUUACGUUGGUAACCAGUUUAUAAUAGCAAUAAGUCAUCCGUGUUGCGUCGUACCUAAGAACAGCCCUUAGCCGUAGUAUAUUGGCCAUAUACCACACGCCCUCGUGCCUUUUUACUGAAAUAUCAAAUCAAAUUUUAUUUGUCACAUACACAUGGUUAGCAGAUGUUAAUGCGAGUGUAACGAAAUGCUUGUGCUUCUAGUUCCGACCAUGCAGUAAUAUCUAACAAGUAAUCUAACCUAACAAUUUCACUACCUUAUAUACACAAGUGUAAAAGAAUGAAUAAGAAUAUGUACAUUAAAAUAUAUGAAUGAGCGUUGGCCGAACGGCACAGGCAAGAUGCAGUAGAUGCUAUAAAGUACAGUAUAUACAUAUGGGAUGAGUAAUGUAGGGUAUGUAAACAUUAUAUCAAGUGGCAUUGUUUAAAGUGGCUAGUGAUACAUUUAUUACAUCAAUUUUUAAUUAUUAAAGUGGCUAGAGAUGAGUCAGUAUGUUGGCAGCAGCCACUCAAUGUUAGUGAUGGCUGUUUAACAGUCUGAUGGCCUUGAGAUAGAAGCUGUUUUUCAGUCUCUCGGUCCCCGCGUUGAUGCACCUGCACUGACCUCGCCUUCUGGAUGAUAGCGUGGUGAACAGGCAGUGGCUCGGGUGGUUGUUGUCCUGGAGGGCAGGUAGUUUUCCCCCGGUGAUACGUUGUGCAGACCUCACUACCCUCUGGAGAGCCUUACAGUUGUGGGCGGAGCAGUUGCCGUACCAGGCAAUGAUACAGCCCGACAGGAUGCUCUCGAUUGUGCAUCUGUAAAAGCUUGAGUGUUUUUGGUGACACGCCACAUUCUUUUCAGCCUCCUGAGGUUGAAGAGGCGUUGCUGCGCCUUCUUCACCAUGCUGUCUGUGUGGGUGGACCAUUCCAGUUUGUCCGUGAUGUGUGCGCCGAGGAACUUAAAACUUACUACCCUCUCCACUACUGUCCCGUCGAUGUGGAUAGGGGGCUGCUCCCUCUGCUGUUUCCUGAAGUCCGCGAUCAUCGCCUUUGUUUUGUUGACAUUGAGUGUGAGGUUAUUUUCCUGACACCACACUCCGAGGGCCCUCACCUCCUCUCUGUAGGCUGUCUCAUCGUUGUUGGUAAUCAAGCCUACCACUG